rnacentral:tRNA from 1 species
AAUGUCUUAGGUUAAUAAAAACCAACAGCCUUCAAAGCUGUGAAUGGGUUCCUACCCAGACAUUA